GACGAACGCUGGCGGCGUGCCUAAUACAUGCAAGUAGAACGCUGAAGGAGGAGCUUGCUUCUCUGGAUGAGUUGCGAACGGGUGAGUAACGCGUAGGUAACCUGCCUGGUAGCGGGGGAUAACUAUUGGAAACGAUAGCUAAUACCGCAUAAUAGCAGUUGUUGCAUGACAACUGUUUGAAAGCUGCAAUUGCACCACUACCAGAUGGACCUGCGUUGUAUUAGCUAGUUGGUGGGGUAACGGCUCACCAAGGCGACGAUUCAUAGCCGACCUAAGAGGGGGAUCGGCCAAACUGAGACUGAGACACGGCCCAGACUCCUACGAGAGGAAGCAGUAGGGAAUCUUGGGCAAUGGAUGGAAGUCUGACCGAGCAACGCCGCGUGAGUGAAGAAGGUUGUCGGAUCGUAAAGCUCUGUUGUAAGAGAAGAAUGAGUGUGAGAGUGGAAAGUUCACACUGUGACGGUAUCUGACCAGAAAGAGACGGCUAACUACGUG
rnacentral:rRNA from 1 species